CUUCUUUACCCAUUUACCGCUUUAUCUCUAGGGUUUUAAAAGAAGUGUUUGGAUCUGGAUGAACACGAUCAGAAAAAAUAGUGUAUGAUUUGAAAUUAUUUGAAACAGGUUUGCAACAUAUCAUGAUACCACGUUGAUUUUGGUUAGAGGUAAAGGUGGUUAAUCCACAGAUCUUCUGAAAAAAAAAGGUCAGGGGCAAAAACAUCAACAUCACCAAAAAUUCACCAGAUCACCAAACUAGGAAAACAGAAUCAAGACCACCAAAUCAUACCAAUGAAAACAAGACAACCAGUAACCGAGAAGCAGCCAACACACAUGAAGGGGCGAGAAUGUCAAUCGUCUAAAAAAAUGAAGAUACUCUGAAAUGCCAUCACAGAAAGCACCAAACCUACGAGAACUGUGAUACUGUCAAUCAGUUUUUAAAUCUUUAUUUUUUUGUUUUUUGAUCAAAAUAACGAACUACUGACUACAAUGUUUGCUUUGAUUUGAAGAUGGAUCAAAUGAACGAACUAUUGGUAAGAUUGUUACAUUAUGUUUCCUUUUCAAUUUCACUAUCUGGAUUUGGGUUUCCAAUCUUUGAUGGACUAAUUUGUUCAUGAUAUAUGACUAACAAACAAAACAUGAAAAAAAUAAACUUCACAUAGUCCCUAGGAAUUGUUAAAGAAUGACCCCUACAAGUAGCAUCAAUUAAGGUGCAUAUUCAUUUUGUGUUUAUUUAUUGGAAGCUAAGUUUUGGUUAGAUUCAUGGUUGAUUUUGUUAUUGUGAAAUGUCAGUUUAUAAAUUGGCAUUUAUUGCUUUUAUUUGCUACAGGUUCAAAAUAGUCUCGUUGAAAUCAAAAAAUUCAGUAUUUCUUUAAGCCCUUUUUGUGUAUUGAUUUUUUUAUUUUAUUUAUUUAAGUAUUUUUUUUCAGCUUUUAGUUAGUGGUGAUUCGAUGUCUUCAUUGUUAAUCUUGGUGUCAUGGUGGAGAUGAAUCAUAAAUCUUGGUGUCAUGGUGGAGAUGAAUCAUAAUCAAAGAUAUCUUGCUCAUAGUAUUUGGUGACCAAAAGUCGAAUGUUGACUUAACUUUAUUUAUAAUAAAUUCAGCUGUAAUUUGAAUCUCUUUAAAAAAUGAUAAUUGCAGUAUAAUCACUAUUAAUUGUUUUUUUCCUAAAUUUUUAAUGGGAUAAUUCUUUGUCAA